UUGGAACCACCAAACAGGUUCCAACCAUUGAGUUUCUUCUCAGCUUUCUUCUCGAAUUCCUCUCCUCUUGCAGCAUCCGACAUUUUCCGAUUAUUCUGAGCUCCAAAGCGUCGCAGUUAAGAAAAGAGAUGAGAGAGAGACUCAAGAGAGAGAAGAAGAGAAAAGCAAG